UACAGAGGGGGCAAGCGUUGUUCGGAUUCAUUGGGCGUAAAGGGUGCGUAGGCGGCGCGGUAAGUCGGGUGUGAAAUCUCGGAGCUUAACUCCGAAACUGCAUUCGAUACUGCCGUGCUUGAAUCCGGGAGAGGGAUGCAGAAUUCCAGGUGUAGCGGUGAAAUGCGUAGAUAUCUGGAGGAAUACCGGUGACGAAGGCGGCAUCCUGGACCGGCAUUGACGCUGAUGAGCGAAAGCCAGGGGAGCAAACGGG
rnacentral:rRNA from 1 species